rnacentral:rRNA from 1 species
GACGAACGCUGGCGGCGUGCUUAACACAUGCAAGUCGAACGGAAAGGCCCAGCUUGCUGGGUACUCGAGUGGCGAACGGGUGAGUAACACGUGGGUGAUCUGCCUUGCACUCUGGGAUAAGCCUGGGAAACUGGGUCUAAUACUGGAUAUGACCACGAACUGCAUGGUUUGUGGUGGAAAGCUUUUGCGGUGUGAGAUGGGCCCGCGGCCUAUCAGCUUGUUGGUGGGGUAAUGGCCCACCAAGGCGACGACGGGUAGCCGACCUGAGAGGGUGAUCGGCCACACUGGGACUGAGACACGGCCCAGACUCCUACGGGAGGCAGCAGUGGGGAAUAUUGCACAAUGGGCGCAAGCCUGAUGCAGCGACGCCGCGUGAGGGAUGACGGCCUUCGGGUUGUAAACCUCUUUCGGCAGGGACGAAGCGCAAGUGACGGUACCUGCAGAAGAAGCACCGGCCAACUAC